AAAGAAAAUGGUCCCAUGGGAAUUGUCCAUAGGAUAUAGCAAACAGCUCUAGAGCCAAAGAAGCCUUCAUGGACCUGCUUCAUGGACCCUCCUAAAACUACAUACAAUAUGACCCCCAUAAAACUCAUUGGAGUAUGAGCUGGACUUUUAUAUCUCACCUUGCACAACAUCUAUGAAGAAAUAUCAAAAUAAACUUACUUUUUUCUCAUAA